rnacentral:rRNA from 1 species
CAAACUUGGUCAUUUAGAGGAAGUAAAAGUCGUAACAAGGUCUCCGUUGGUGAACCAGCGGAGGGAUCAUUACCGAAGUUACCUUCAAAACCCACUGUGAACCUUACCUCUUGCCGCGUUGUCUCGGCGGGAGGCGGUGGGCGUCGCGCGCCCUAGCGGGCCGUGCCGCUCCCGUCCCCGCCGGCGGCGCCAAACUCUAAAUUUACAGCGGACUGUACGUUCUGAUUUACAAAAAAAACAAGUUAAAACUUUCAACAACGGAUCUCUUGGUUCUGGCAUCGAUGAAGAACGCAGCGAAAUGCGAUAAGUAAUGUGAAUUGCAGAAUUCAGUGAACCAUCGAAUCUUUGAACGCACAUUGCGCCCGGCAGUAAUCUGCCGGGCAUGCCUGUCCGAGCGUCAUUUCUACCCUCGAGCGAGUCCAGCAUCUAGGUGCUGGGCCUCGCCCGGCGUUGGAGCACUACGGGAAGCCCUGUGCUGUCCCCCGUAGGCCCCGAAAUGAAGUGGCGGUCCUGCCGCGGCGCCCCCUGCGUAGUAUAACAGCUCGCUACGGGACCCGGUGGAGGCCUGCCGUCAAACCUAUACUCUCUAAGUUUGACCUCGGAUCAGGUAGGGUUACCCGCUGAACUAAAACAUAUCAAUAAGCGGAGGA